rnacentral:rRNA from 1 species
CGCGGUAACACAUGCAAGUCGAACGGAGUUAUUUUGAUUGAUUCCUUCGGGAUGAUUGAUUUUUAACUUAGUGGCGGACGGGUGAGUAACGCGUGAGUAACCUGCCUUUGAGAGGGGGAUAACGUUCUGAAAAGAACGCUAAUACCGCAUGACAUUUCGAAGCCGCAUGACUUUGAUAUCAAAGAUUUAUCGCUCAAAGAUGGACUCGCGUCCGAUUAGUUAGUUGGUGAGGUAACGGCUCACCAAGACCGCGAUCGGUAGCCGGACUGAGAGGUUGAACGGCCACAUUGGGACUGAGACACGGCCCAGACUCCUACGGGAGGCAGCAGUGGGGGAUAUUGCGCAAUGGGGGCAACCCUGACGCAGCAACGCCGCGUGAAGGAUGAAGGUUUUCGGAUUGUAAACUUCUUUUGUUAGGGACGAACUCUGACGGUACCUAACGAAUAAGCUCCGGCUAACUACGUGCCAGCCGCCGCUGUAAAAC